GACGAACGCUGGCGGCGUGCUUAACACAUGCAAGUCGAACGGAAAGGCCCUGCUUGCAGGGUACUCGAGUGGCGAACGGGUGAGUAACACGUGGGUGAUCUGCCCUGCACUUCGGGAUAAGCCUGGGAAACUGGGUCUAAUACCGGAUAGGAGCCAUUUUUAGUGUGAUGGUUGGAAAGUUUUUUCGGUGUAGGAUGAGCUCGCGGCCUAUCAGCUUGUUGGUUGGGUAAUGGCCUACCAAGGCGGCGACGGGUAGCCGGCCUGGGAGGGUGGACGGCCACAUUGGGACUGGGAUACGGCCCAGACUCCUACGGGGGGCAGCAGUGGGGAAUAUUGCACAAUGGGCGCAAGCCUGAUGCAGCGACGCCGCGUGGGGGAUGACGGCCUUCGGGUUGGAAACUCCUUUCGCUAGGGACGAAGCUUUUUGUGACGGUACCUAGAUAAGAAGCACCGGCUAACUACGUG
rnacentral:rRNA from 1 species